GGGUCAGUAGGUUGGUCGUGCCACCGGUACGUACUGGUCUCACUGAUUCCUCCUUCCUGAAGAACCGUAAUGCCAUUAAUUUGGUGUUGCGGGGAAACAGGACUGUCACUUUGAAAAAAUUAGAGUGUUUAAAGCAAGCUAACGCUUGAAUACAUUAGCACGGAAUAAUGAAAUAGGACGAUCGAUCCUAUUUUGUUGGUUUCUAGGAUUGACGUA
rnacentral:rRNA from 1 species